rnacentral:lncRNA from 1 species
GCAGAAAAUAGGACAGGAUCCUGACUCUGCAAUUGCUCUUGUUCACCAGAUGUGACAGAGGGAUCAUACAAACCCCAGCAGAUUACUCAGACUUCAGUAGCUGGAGGCCCAAUGCAGAGACCACCACACCCAGCAACCCUCAGGCUUUUGGUUUCAGUGGACUGUGGAUAUGGCCAUUAGUAAGAAUCCAGUCCCAUGACCUACUAAGUUAAACUGCUGAUCCUUCAGAAGGAGAAAACUGUAUGAAUAGCUGUCAAGAGGGCAGGAUAGGUAAGUGUGCUAUCUGGAAUCCCACAUAUCCUAAUGUCAGGCCAAUCCUGAGGCACUGAUUCAAGGGAAAAAAAUCCUAUUUAUGUCAAAAUGAUUUUUUACUCAGGCCAAAUCUGACUGUAUUUUCAAAUCUAUGACAUACACAUAAUGGUCAUGAAGGGACAAAAAAAGCAAAACAAUAUAGCCCACCCAUCUUCAAAGACUGUGAAGUGAUAAUCAGUUUUACGCUUCUCGCUCAGAUGAAAUCCAUGCAGGUUUUCAUACAAAGAUGUCUUUAACUCUGAUCUCAUGACAAAUUCCUAAACCAGAGGGAUUGGAGCAGGAGUAAAUGAGAGACACCACUGAUGGACUUCAACGCCAAAGGAGACCCCUGCUCAUCAUUUGUGGCUAGAUUGCAACACCUGUGGCACCCCUCUUAUAAUUGCAUGUCAUGAUAAAAUGUAAAAAUUCUGCCUGAGUGCAGCAGAGAUGAUGAGUUGUGAGGCAAGAGAACCUCUUCAGUACGUGUUGGAGUU